CAUUACCUAGAGUUUGUGGGCUUUGCCCACUGUCUCUUACCCAUGUCUUUUGAGUACUUACGUUUCCUCGGUGGGCUCGCCCGCCGGUUGGACAAUUUAAACCAUUUGCAGUUGCAAUCAGCGUCUGAAAAACAUAAUAGUUACAACUUUCAACAACGGAUCUCUUGGUUCUGGCAUCGAUGAAGAACGCAGCGAAAUGCGAUAAGUAGUGUGAAUUGCAGAAUUCAGUGAAUCAUCGAAUCUUUGAACGCACAUUGCGCCCCUUGGUAUUCCAUGGGGCAUGCCUGUUCGAGCGUCAUUUGUACCUUCAAGCUCUGCUUGGUGUUGGGUGUUUGUCUCGCCUUGCGCGUAGACUCGCCUUAAAACAAUUGGCAGCCGGCGUAUUGAUUUCGGAGCGCAGUACAUCUCGCGCUUUGCACUCAUAACGACGACGUCCAAAAGUACUUUUUACACUCUUGACCUCGGAUCAGGUAGGGAUACCCGCUGAACUUAAGCAUAU
rnacentral:rRNA from 1 species